GCCGCCCGCUGGCGGCGUGCCUAAUACAUGCAAGUAGAACGCUGAAGGAGGAGCUUGCUUCUCUGGAUGAGUUGCGAACGGGUGAGUAACGCGUAGGUAACCUGCCUGGUAGCGGGGGAUAACUAUUGGAAACGAUAGCUAAUACCGCAUAACAGUAGAUAUCGCAUGAUAUCUACUUGAAAGGUGCAAUUGCAUCACUACCAGAUGGACCUGCGUUGUAUUAGCUAGUUGGUGAGGUAACGGCUCACCAAGGCGACGAUACAUAGCCGACCUGAGAGGGUGAUCGGCCACACUGGGACUGAGACACGGCCCAGACUCCUACGGGAGGCAGCAGUAGGGAAUCUUCGGCAAUGGACGGAAGUCUGACCGAGCAACGCCGCGUGAGUGAAGAAGGGUUUCGGAUCGUAAAGCUCUGUUGUAAGAGAAGAACGAGUGUGAGAGUGGAAAGUUCACACUGUGACGGUAUCUUACCAGAAAGGGACGGCUAACUACGUG
rnacentral:rRNA from 1 species